rnacentral:rRNA from 1 species
CCUACGGGUGGCAGCAGUGGGGAAUAUUGGACAAUGGGGGCAACCCUGAUCCAGCCAUGCCGCGUGUGUGAAGAAGGCCCUCGGGUUGUAAAGCACUUUCAGUGAGGAAGAACGCCUGGUGGUUAAUACCCAUCAGGAAAGACAUCACUCACAGAAGAAGCACCGGCUAACUCCGUGCCAGCAGCCGCGGUAAUACGGAGGGUGCGAGCGUUAAUCGGAAUUACUGGGCGUAAAGCGCGCGUAGGUGGCUUGAUAAGCCGGUUGUGAAAGCCCCGGGCUCAACCUGGGAACGGCAUCCGGAACUGUCAAGCUAGAGUGCAGGAGAGGAAGGUAGAAUUCCCGGUGUAGCGGUGAAAUGCGUAGAGAUCGGGAGGAAUACCCGUGGCGAAGGCGGCCUUCUGGACUGACACUGACACUGAGGUGCGAAAGCGUGGGUAGCAAACAGGAUUAGAUACCCUAGUAGUC